rnacentral:lncRNA from 1 species
ACCUAUUGAAUAAAUAAACCAAACGACCCAUAGUGCGCGGAUCUUUCCCGGGUCGGGUCACCGGUCGGGUUUGGUCAUCAGACGGCACCGUUUUAAAUCCGGUGAUUAAAACUAAAACAAAAAAACAAAAAAAACCUAACCUAACACUUUUAUCUCUUUUUUUCUAAAACUUAAGCUCUCUCUCUCGACGCCGCUCGACGUUCAUCGCCUCUUUUAGAGACUCUCCAGACCAUGCCCCAAACUCCGAUGACAACAGAGAAAGAGC